rnacentral:rRNA from 1 species
UACGGGGGGCAAGGCGUUGUUCGGAAUUACUGGGCGUAAAGGGCUCGUAGGCGGCCAACUAAGUCGGAUGUGAAAUCCCCAGGCUCAACUUGGGAACUGCAUCCGAUACUGGAUGGCUUGAAUUCGGGAGAGGGAUGCAGAAUUCCAGGUGUAGCGGUGAAAUGCGUAGAUAUCUGGAGGAAUACCGGUGGCGAAGGCGGCAUCCUGGACCGACAUUGACGCUGAGGAGCGAAAGCUAGGGGAGCAAACGGG